AUUGAACGCUGGCGGCAGGCCUAACACAUGCAAGUCGCACGAGUGGCGGACGGGUGAGUAAUGUCUGGGAAACUGCCUGAUGGAGGGGGAUAACUACUGGCAACGGUAGCUAAUACCGCAUACCAUCGGAUGUGCCCAGAUGGGAUUAGCUUGUUGGUGGGGUAACGGCUCACCAAGGCGACGAUCCCUAGCUGGUCUGAGAGGAUGACCAGCCACACUGGAAUGGAGAGACGGUCCAGACUCCUACGGGAGGCAGCAGUGGGGAAUAUUGCACGAUGGGCGCAAGCCUGAUGCAGCCAUGCCGCGUGUAUGAAGAGGGCCUUCGGGUUGUAAAGUACUUUCAGCGGGGAGGCGUUACCCGCAGAAGAAGCACCGGCUAAGUCCGUGCCAGCAGCCGCGGUAAUAC
rnacentral:rRNA from 1 species